rnacentral:rRNA from 1 species
GAUGAACGCUGGCAGAAUGCUUAACACAUGCAAGUCUACUUGAACUUCGGUUUGGGUGGCGGACGGGUGAGUAACGCGUAAAGAACUUGCCUCACAGUUAGGGACAACAUUUGGAAACGAAUGCUAAUACCUGAUAUUAUGAUUUUAGGGCAUCCUAGGAUUAUGAAAGCUAUAUGUGCUGUGAGAGAGCUUUGCGUCCCAUUAGCUAGUUGGAGAGGUAACGGCUCACCAAGGCGAUGAUGGGUAGCCGGCCUGAGAGGGUGAACGGCCACAAGGGGACUGAGACACGGCCCUUACUCCUACGGGAGGCAGCAGUGGGGAAUAUUGGACAAUGGACCAAAAGUCUGAUCCAGCAAUUCUGUGUGCACGAUGACGUUUUUCGGAAUGUAAAGUGCUUUCAGUUGGGAAGAAAAAAAUGACGGUACCAACAGAAGAAGUGACGGCUAAAUACGUG